UUCCGGUUGAUCCUGCCGGAGAUCACUGCUAUUGGAAUUCGGUUAAGGCAUGCGAGUCGAGAGGGUACGGCCCUCGGCAGACGGCUCAGUAACACGUGGAUAAUCUGCCCUUAGGUGGGGGAUAAUCUCGAGAAAUUGAGCAUAAUACCCCAUAGUUCUAGAUUGCUGGAAUGCUUUUAGAAUGAAAGCUCCGGCGCCUAAGGAUGAGUCUGCGGCCUAUCAGGUUGUAGUGGGUGUAACGGACUCACUAGCCGACGACGGGUACGGGUCCUGGAAGGGAGCGCCCGGAGACGGACUCUGAGACACGAGUCCAGGCCCUACGGGGCGCAGCAGCUACGAAAACUUCACAAUGCGGGCAACCGUGAUGAGGGGAUUCCAAGUGCUAAUACUUUGUAUUAGCUGUUUACUUGCCUAAAAAGCAGGUAGAGUAAGGGCUGGGUAAGACUGGUGCCAGCCGCCGCGGUAAUACCAGCAGCCCAAGUGGUGAUCGCUAUUAUUGGGCCUAAAGCGUCCGUAGCCGGUUUGGUAAACCCUUGGGUAAAUUGGGCAGCUUAACUGUCCGAAUUCUGAGGAGACUGCCAGACUUGGGACCGGGAGAGGUCAGAGGUACUUCUAGGGUAGAGGUGAAAUUCUGUAAUCCUAGGAGGACCACCAGUGGCGAAGGCGUCUGACUAGAACGGGUCCGACGGUAAGGGACGAAACCCUGGGGCGCGAACCGGAUUAGAUACCCGGGUAGUCCAGGGCGUAAACGCUGCGGGCUUGGUGUUGGGGGUCCUACGAGG
rnacentral:rRNA from 1 species